rnacentral:snoRNA from 1 species
GUGAGAAUAAAUCAAUCCAUAACCAAAUCUCUGCAUCUACAGAUGAUGAGAAACAACAUGCACUACCAUCUGAUCUCAC